rnacentral:rRNA from 1 species
AACAAUGGAUCUCUUGGUUCUCGCAUCGAUGAAGAACGCAGCGAAUUGCGAUAUGUAAUGUGAAUUGCAGAAUUCAGUGAAUCAUCGAAUCUUUGAACGCACCUUGCGCCCUUUGGUAUUCCGAAGGGCAUGCCUGUUUGAGUGUCAUUAAAUUCUCAACUUCAACACUUUUUUGUAUUGAAGCUUGGAUGUUGGAGGGUCUUGCGGGCAUAUAUUAAUGUCAGCUCCUCUUAAAUGCAUUAGCAGAACCUGUGUUCGGCUCUGGUUUGAUAAUCCUAUCUAUGCCAUUGCUGAAAUGUCAUUGUUCAGCUUCUAAUGGUCCAUUGGACUGUCUCUUCAGAGGCAUAUAUUUUGACUUGACCUCAAAUCAGGUAGGACUACCCGCUGAACUUAAGCAUAUCAAUAAGCGGAGGAAAUCGAAUUCCCGCGGC